UGAGGAAUAUUGGUCAAUGGGCGCGAGCCUGAACCAGCCAAGUAGCGUGAAGGAUGAAGGUCCUACGGAUUGUAAACUUCUUUUAUAAGGGAAUAAAGUCACCCACGUGUGGGUGUUUGUAUGUACCUUAUGAAUAAGCAUCGGCUAACUCCGUGCCAGCAGCCGCGGUAAUACGGAGGAUGCGAGCGUUAUCCGGAUUUAUUGGGUUUAAAGGGAGCGUAGACGGGCCGUUAAGUCAGUUGUGAAAGUUUGCGGCUCAACCGUAAAAUUGCAGUUGAUACUGGGUGUCUUGAGUACAGUAGAGGCAGGCGGAAUUCGUGGUGUAGCGGUGAAAUGCUUAGAUAUCACGAAGAACUCCGAUUGCGAAGGCAGCUUGCUGGACUGUAACUGACGCUGAUGCUCGAAAGUGUGGGUAUCAAACAGGAUUAGAUACCCUGGUAGUCCACACAGUAAACGAUGAAUACUCGCUGUUUGCGAUAUACAGUAAGCGGCCAAGCGAAAGCGUUAAGUAUUCCACCUGGGGAGUACGCCGGCAACGGUGAAACUCAAAGGAAUUGACGGGGGCCCGCACAAGCGGAGGAACAUGUGGUUUAAUUCGAUGAUACGCGAGGAACCUUACCCGGGCUUGAAUUGCAACUGAAUGAUGUGGAGACAUGUCAGCCGCAAGGCAGUUGUGAAGGUGCUGCAUGGUUGUCGUCAGCUCGUGCCGUGAGGUGUCGGCUUAAGUGCCAUAACGAGCGCAACCCUUAUCGAUAGUUACCAUCAGGUUAUGCUGGGGACUCUGUCGAGACUGCCGUCGUAAGAUGUGAGGAAGGUGGGGAUGACGUCAAAUCAGCACGGCCCUUACGUCCGGGGCUACACACGUGUUACAAUGGGGGGUACAGAAGGCAGCUACACGGCGACGUGAUGCUAAUCCCGAAAGCCUCUCUCAGUUCGGAUUGGAGUCUGCAACCCGACUCCAUGAAGCUGGAUUCGCUAGUAAUCGCGCAUCAGCCACGGCGCGGUGAAUACGUUCCC
rnacentral:rRNA from 1 species